GGGGAAUUUUCAGCAUAGAGAGAGAGAACAUUGUGUCCUGGCUCUGACACGGUUCUUGUAGCAGGACACUGGGCCUCAACUCUAUCCAAUCUCUCUCAGACCAUGUAUGGCAGCUAGGAUUCGAAGCUGAGUGUCAUCCUGCUGACCCUGUUCUCCCAAAGCACCAGGAAGUUCAACUGCUGUCCUACACAGAUUCUCAACAUCCUCCAAUAAAUGUACCAUGCCAAAGACAACGGGAAUUCAUGAUGGCCAUCACGGGGGCCUCAGCAAAAACAACACAACUGUGAGGCCAUUUCUUGCACUUUGGUGGCUUCUGUUACCUGAUGAUGCAAGUCUUGGCAGGCAGAAAUGGCAGCAGUGAGAAUCCCCACUAUGAUACUGUGUGUGUGUGUGUGUGUGUGUGUGUGUGUGUGUGUGUGUGGCAUCCGGUGUUGAUUUAACGAUUGGCAAUCACAGUGAGAGAGGAAACUCUGAUUGUGAUGAACUUGCCUCCUGCUGUUCUCUCUUGUUGAGUUUCCUUUCCAGCAUGACUCGUGUAAUUAUCCUCCAAUUUGUUAUCCAGAUUUUUUUUCUGGACACAACUACUCAAACAUCCAGACAAAUCACUUGGAAUCAAAGAGUGAUUAUGGUAGAAAAGGGUCAAUGAACUUGUUCCAAGCAUCAAUGUGACUUCCACUCUUGACACAGGAAUGUGGACAGGAGUAAUCUCUCCACCACACAACAAUGUAGCACUGUUUAAAUCAUCUGUUAGUGAUGUCCUGUCCUUAUCUUGUAUUAAAACUGAUGU